rnacentral:rRNA from 1 species
UACAGAGGUCCCAAGCGUUGUUCGGAUUCAUUGGGCGUAAAGGGUGCGUAGGUGGCGAGGUAAGUCGGAUGUGAAAUCUCGGGGCUCAACCCCGAAACUGCAUUCGAUACUGCUUUGCUAGAGUACUGGAGAGGAGAUCGGAAUUUACGGUGUAGCAGUGAAAUGCGUAGAUAUCGUAAGGAAGACCAGUGGCGAAGGCGGAUCUCUGGACAGUUACUGACACUGAGGCACGAAGGCCAGGGGAGCAAACGGG